GCUGCACAUACAUAUAAUAUAUUAUAAAGUGGUUUAUCACACAAGCUUUAAGUUACAACGAAAAAUUUAUUUUAAAGGCAAAUAUAUAUUAUAACAGCGCCUUCAAAUAGUGUUUGAAUAUUUAAUAUUUGUAAUUGCAGUAUAUAAUGUGCAGGCAAUUUGAAAACUUUUAUCUGCUUAAAAUUGUAAAUCCAAACCGUUCUCGAAUCCAUCUGAAGACACAAACAUUUUAUUAAAAUCGGCCCAGCCGUUUGAGAGGAGUUUUGUGACAUUCACUCACACAUAAGGAAAUAUAUACAUUUAAAAGAUAAGCUUCAUGUACUGUACAUAUCUCUAUGAAAAACAAAUCAAUGUUAAAAUUUGUUUAAAAACUAACCAGAUUCAUAAAUUAUUCUUCCAAUUUCCAGCCCUCUUCCUUCCAGUUUGUUACUUCAUUAUUACCAUAGACAAAAACAUUCUUCUCUUAGAAAGAAUAUCUUAUAAUGUAUGUUAAUACUCGUUCCAAUGUUCAAGACAUAUUAAAAACUAAAUAAACGGUUGUGAAGUAAAACAGUAGUUUCUAAUUCUUUCUAACUCGAUCAAAUUAGUUGUUUCACUGACCAAUAAAAAAAAUUAAACAUAUAUAGUUUACACUGACAUGUGAUGUAUUCUACAUAAUAAGUAAAAUCAUGUGAAUAUAUUUUUAUAUUUAUAGUUGCAAAGCUAUUACUAUGUAUUAAUGGUUCUUAAAAAGUGGAUUCAAAAUUUGCAGCACUUUAUAAAAUGACAAACUACUUGGCUAAGUAUGACUUUCAAUGGGUUUUUAUGGCACUAUUCCUGUUAAUAAAAAAGUAACGAGUGAUUUAAAUAAUUAUUUUGCAAUGUUGGAAUGGCGAAUUUCCUUAAUAAAUACAUAAUGGUCUGAUCCAAGCUUUAUAAUCUUUUAUUGCCUUCAAUUAGAUUCAUAGGCAAAAGGGAAGAUCAAUUAAUGAGAAAGAUGCUAGGGAAGAUCAAUUCAUGAGAAAGAUGCUGAAUAGGUGUAAGAUGUUUGAAUAAAUAAGUUGGGCACUGGCUUUUGAUGAACAUAUUAAAAGUUCCAUUAAAUCUUUUGCUUUUCUAUAGAUUACAAUCUUUUGCUUUUCCAUAAAUUGCCUGAUGAACAAAUUCUUCAUGUUUAAGUUGGUGGCAGUCAAAGCAUAUGUUUAUAUGGGAGUAUCUUGCUGUUUUAAUAUAUUGUAAUGUCAUUGUAUGAUCAUAUGGUCAGUAUCAACUAUACUCUCACUAUUUUCAUGUUUAUUUUUUACUUAAAUGGCUCAUUGAUUCUUUAUUAUGUCUGUUUUUAAUUGAAUGGUUUAUCUUUAUGUGAACCAAUAUUGUUAAACUAAUGAUAAUUACUGUUGAUAAUUAUUGUCAAAUUAAUUGCUGUAAAGUGUUUAUAGAUUUUUAAAUUUCACAGAUAUGUUUUCCACAAAGGAACAUAAUGAUCAGGGUUUCAUAUCCGACAGUACUGUAGCAUGCUCCUCCACCUCCAUAGACCUCUGCAAAAGGCCAUUGUCAAGCAGGUCUCGAAAGUGCUUUGACUGCCAUUUCCAGAAAUCUGUAGUUUCAUCACGGACAAAGCACUCACCCAGCAAAUGCUCCAAACCACAUCUCAGUUACAAAGCUGGCCGCAGACCGAGUCUGCUUCAGUGCAUGGAGAAACAAUCUCAGUUCAAGAAAAAAUCCAAGCUGUCUCAUAUUAACACAUGCUCAUCUCCUGUACGAUAUGAUUACAAGUCCCCACAGAUGUGCUGGACAAGUGAUUCACCCACGAGUGGACACGGAGGGAAAGGUGACAGCUUAGCGAGAAACAAUCCAGGAAAUCAAGUACAAGUCAUAUAUCCGGUGAUGGCCACACAAACUCCGUCUCAGGAACACGACAGCUUCCCGUUCAAGCCCACUCCAAGUGGGAACUACAAGCUGAAACCUAGUCAGGUGGUCUAUGAGUCCAAAAACCUGAGCAUUGUGGCAGCUGACCCCGGCAGUGUCAUGCUGAACGUCACCGAGUCCAACAAAACUGUGGAGACUGAUUUUGUCAACAGACCAGAGAAAGAAAACUGGGACACGACUUUCCUGUACACGUCGGUCGGGGCUGAUGGAAAGUUGCCAUUUGGCAGCGAACUCUCGGACACCAUCAGUGACUCAGAUGGUGGCUUUAUAAACCAUAAGUCAUCUGAUAAACCUUCAGAGAUAAGUCUAGCUAAAAUGGGUUAUGUGGUUGACAACUGCUUGGAUUGGAAGAACUUGAUCUUGCCGAAGAAAGCAGACCUGCAGAAAUUAUUGCUGCACAACGUACUCAAUAAGAUACAUCCUGACAUCCAGGUAAAAAUCGGAAGUUCUGUGUACAACUGUCACAGAAUUGUGUUGCAGUGUUAUUGCUCGAAUUUCAUUCCAAAAUCUGGUUCGGUAGUUGAAUUGCCUGAGAAAGAGGUCUCAAAAGAUGUCUUCUCGCAGAUCUACCACUGGAUGUUACAUCUCGGCACGGACAGCUAUAAACUUCUGCGAAGGGACAACAUUCUGGAGAUUUACAAGGCCGCCAGCUUCUUAAAGAUCAAGGAGCUGGAGGAUCAGUGCUGGGCGUUCAUCGACAAUGUGGAUGUGUUCUUUGAGGACAGAGCAUUCCUGUUGUACUUGGCCGCUAGGAAGUACGACAAUAAGACCGUGAUGGAACUGAUGAUUCCCAGAGUCCAGCGGUUCUUUCUGACUCUUGUCAGCUCCAGGGAGUUCGUGGAGUUCUCGUGUGAAGAGGUCUGCACUUUCCUUCAGUCGAACUACAUCUGCAUCCAUUGUGAGAUGGAAGUGUUCAUGGCAGGUGUGCGCUGGCUGGAGCACGACUGGAAUAGACGCAAGGAGCACGCUGUCGAGGUGAUGAGUUGUGUCCGAUUUGGCUUCAUCAAUCCUCGGGUCCUCAUCACACUGAGACGCAAUCCCCAAUCUCCGCAGUUUCUUCGAGUUGCCAACAUUCCUGAGAUUUCCAAGAUGAUUGACGAUGGUGUUGCGCUGUCGAUAUUGAAAACGUAUUUUGAAAAUGACUCUGACGAAGAUUUCCAGAAAAGUCUGAAAUUACUAGGAGUGACAAAUCCAGUUCCUCGUAACUGGGCAGGCAGUGACAAGAACUACCAGACCUACGAUGAGUUCAUGCAAGAAUUGAAUCACUACCGCAGCAAGCAGCGCCUUGAUGUCAAACUGUCCAGGAUGAAGCUGAAACUGGAGUCGGUCAACGACGACUUUCUGAGCUCUGCAGUCCUGCCACCUGCCACACAUCAGAAGAUAACACAGAUGGCUGGAGGAAGUGCUCUCAUACGAUGCCUCCCUCAGUUGGAGCCGAAGGAACUGGAGUUAUUAAAGAAGAUGAUCUGUCAGGACGGCACAUUGGUGGAGAACAAGGGGAAGAAGAUGAAGUCAAAACUGUGCGCAAUGGCAGAGGAAGAAUAUAAGCAGAAACCUUGCAGGAAGUCCAAGGAUGUCAGGAAGGCUCGACGACUGACUCCUGCAAUAGUCAUGAAUCCGGAUGAGGCAGCGAAGAAAAUCCAGAAAGCCUACAGACAUUACCAUCGCAGAAAGAGUGGGUCAUUGGUGGGCGUGACGGAAGGAAUCAUGUCAUCAGGCGGUCACGUCACUAAAAAUAUGAAGUCGAUGUCAGAUCCUUCUUUGCCUUCGUACCUCAUGAAGUCUUCUGUCUUGACAACAGGGGAAGAGGAUGUGUGCUGCAUACCUCUACACUUCUGCAAGGAGUCAUUGUUUGUGUUCGGUGGAGUAAACCCGUUUGAGGACGUCAACUAUUGUAACAGCGGCAGCAAAAUCUACCAGUACAUGAGCAGAAGCAACUGCUGGCAAGUUUACGGUGAGAUGCCCGAGCCCAGACACUACCACUGUGUGCUGUUCUUUCAGGGGUGGAUCUUUGUGGCAGGAGGCAAGCACACAGCGAAAGAGACAAAUGAUCCUGGAGCCAUCAGUCGCAAAGUAUGGAGGUUUAAUCCUACUUACAAGAAUUGGUCAUCUUUACGAGAUAUGAGACAUCCGAGACGCAGCUUCGGCUUUGUGGCCUGCAACAACCGUUUGUUUGCUCUUGGUGGGAGAGACGAUCAAGACAGGAUCCUGAACCAAGUGGAGAUGUACGAUGCUGUGGCAGAGAAGUGGGUGGAAGUGCAGCCAAUGAAUGAGGCCAGAGCCGGGCUGGCAGUCAGCGAGUACAACGGCCGCAUCUGGGUCGCUGGAGGGUUACUCAAUAGUGCUAACAUCGCUACCAAGUCUGUCGAGUAUUACAACGUUCAACAAAACACGUGGACGCAGGUGUCUAGCCUGCGCUACACUCUGGCGUACGGAGUGAUGGUGCCUAUGGAGGGCCGUCUGUAUCUGGUGGGCGGGGCUAUCGGGCUGCAGGACAUGCCGUCGUCAGGCAGUGGUCGCCAGAUCGAUGUGUGGGACCACGACAAUCAGAACUGGGCGCUCGCCACCAUGAUGUGCAAGCCCAGACACGCUCAUGCUGCUGUGUGUCUCAAAGGUGACACUCCACAUUCUGCGUAUUGUAUGGUGCUGGGGGGGAUGUCCACGAAGCACAACUCUGCACUGGAUAAAGUAGAGUGCUGGAACGUGCAAGAUAACCAAUGGAUACCUGGUAUUGCCCAGCUGCCUCAGCCACUCGCCGGACAUGUUGCCCUUGCCUUGCCCUCGCAUGUUAUGGGCUGACUCGUUAUCACCUGUCCCACACGUUGGGUCGAUUCACCACAACUUCUACAGCAACUUCUGGAGUGAAUGAAAAUGCGGCAAAACCUUAUUUUGGAAGAGGAUACUUAACUCGUAAGUAAGACUGACCUCAUCAGCAGGGUCGUAGUACUGCUCCAGGUAGGGGUGUGCGAGAGCAUCCUCUACCACUAUGCGGUUGUGAGGGUUGAAUGUCAGCAUCUUGUCUAGCAGGUCCAGGGCUUUGGAGUCAGCAUUGGGGUAAAGUCUGGUCCACGGGACCUUGGGCUUGAACGGCAAGGACUGCAGGUAACUUCUGGCCUGCAGUGGACAUAUCAUCAUUGUAACAUUCAACCACUGCAAUGUGAGAGAAUAUUGCACAUUUAACAAUUAAAAGUGACAACUUACCUUUUGAUUUUUUCUUCCAUUACAAAUAAACAUAUUAGAUGUUUUACUAUACAAUAAAAUCUAUUAAUAGGCACAUAUAGUACAUGAUUUGAAAGGAGCAACAGACUUGAAGAUAGAGGAAAUUAUGAAGAUAAGCAUGUAAAAUCCAUGUUCCAAUAAAAAAUUCAUGUGA